rnacentral:rRNA from 1 species
UGGGGAAUUUUGGACAAUGGGGGCAACCCUGAUCCAGCAAUGCCGCGUGUGUGAAGAAGGCCUUCGGGUUGUAAAGCACUUUUGUCCGGAAAGAAAACGUCGUGGUUAAUACCCGUGGCGGCUGACGGUACCGGAAGAAUAAGCACCGGCUAACUACGUGCCAGCAGCCGCGGUAAUACGUAGGGUGCAAGCGUUAAUCGGAAUUACUGGGCGUAAAGCGUGCGCAGGCGGUCCGCUAAGACAGAUGUGAAAUCCCCGGGCUUAACCUGGGAACUGCAUUUGUGACUGGCGGGCUAGAGUAUGGCAGAGGGGGGUAGAAUUCCACGUGUAGCAGUGAAAUGCGUAGAGAUGUGGAGGAAUACCGAUGGCGAAGGCAGCCCCCUGGGCCAAUACUGACGCUCAUGCACGAAAGCGUGGGGAGCAAACAGGAUUAGAUACCCUGGUAGUCCACGCCCUAAACGAUGUCAACUAGUUGUCGGGUCUUCAUUGACUUGGUAACGUAGCUAACGCGUGAAGUUGACCGCCUGGGGAGUACGGUCGCAAGAUUAAAACUUAAAGAAUUGACGGGGUCAUAGCUGUUU